CCUCUCCCAGUCGUUUAAAGAGCCUGCCUUUGCCCCGUCCAUUAAAGAGACUCUAAAUGACCCCCAGCUGACCUCCGCAGAGAGAGGAUGGCAGUAGCUGUUUAAAAAGACCUCCAUCCCACAAGGUCGAUGUCCCGGCUACACAAGGCCAUCCGUACGAGUAUCUCAGUGGUGCUAGAGACUCGACAGACCACACAGGAGCUCCCCUCCAAACAUUCGAGCCCACACAAUGUCAAACCAAAUCCCGAAAAGGCCGUCCAACCCUCACAAAGGAUCUGCCCGAUGGCCAAAGCUCAGACUUUCACAUUUUUCACGGUCUGGACUGGGGAUGAAUCCUGCAGGGGACGAAAUGGAGUGACCUGUGGAGAUGUAAAAAAAAAAAAAAGGGGAAGAUAAUGCAUGUAUCACACAUCGCCAUUCUCUGGAGAAAGGGGGUGGGAGAGGAAGCCUGUAAGGUAAAUGGAGUUCCACAUCCUGGGGGACGACCUGCUGGAGAAUACUUCCUUGGCGGUGUAUACAUUUUACAUACACACCGGAGUGCUCUGAACUGACUGUGAACCUGCUCUGUGGAUGUCUUGAAUUUGGCUGUUGUUAAAAGUGAUGAGUCUAACGCUUACAUUAGACAUCAAGCAUCGCCUACUAGGGGGGAAGAGUAAAUAAAUAAUGCAGUAUAUGCGAGGGUGAUGACAUCAUAUUUCUCAAGACACUUCUAAUCUCAUAUUAUUGUGCUCAUUAACCUAUAUCCAAUCCCCUCCAAUGAAUAAAUA